rnacentral:rRNA from 1 species
UACGAAGGGGGCUAGCGUUGCUCGGAAUCACUGGGCGUAAAGCGCACGUAGGCGGAUCUUUAAGUCAGGGGUGAAAUCCUGGAGCCCAACUCCAGAACUGCCUUUGAUACUGAGGAUCUUGAGUCCGGGAGAGGUGAGUGGAACUCCGAGUGUAGAGGUGAAAUUCGUAGAUAUUCGGAAGAACACCAGUAGCGAAGGCGGCUCACUGGCCCGGUACUGACGCUGAGGUGCGAAAGCGUGGGGAGCAAACAGG